GACAGAGGAUGCAAGCGUUAUUCGGAAUUACUGGGCGUAAAGCGCACGUAGGCGGCUUUGUAAGUAAGAGGUGAAAGCCCAGAGCUCAACUCUGGAAUUGCCUUUUAGACUGCAUCGCUUGAAUCAUGGAGAGGUCAGUGGAAUUCCGAGUGUAGAGGUGAAAUUCGUAGAUAUUCGGAAGAACACCAGUGGCGAAGGCGGCUGACUGGACAUGUAUUGACGCUGAGGUGCGAAAGCGUGGGGAGCAAACAGG
rnacentral:rRNA from 1 species